AGAUUUCACAGGUUAAUUUUGAGACGAGUAUACCAAUUACUACUGGGGAAGGGCAAGUUGAUAUAGGUGAUGUACACUACCUGAUAAAGUUCGAUCAGUUCCAUAAUUUACGGUUGAUGGUUAACUUUGAUAAGGAUGAUUCAAGCAGUCGAAGAUUGAAGAUUUUCAACCAUUUUUUUUUGUAACAAUGUCUUGUUAUCGACUUCAUUCUAAUCUUGAUGAUUUGAACGU